rnacentral:lncRNA from 1 species
UCUUUUUGAUGCAUUUUGAAAGUUCAAGUACCCAAUUGAGUGUAAAAAAAAAGUAGGGGAUUAAUUUCUUUUUUGAAAAGGUUUGAGGUCUUUUUUGAUGCAUUUUGAAAGUUUAAGUACCCAAAUGAGUGCAAAAAAAAAAGCAUGGGCUUAAUUGUUUUUUUUUUUUAAAGUUUGAGAGUUUUUUGCACCCUUAAGC